rnacentral:rRNA from 1 species
CCUACGGGAGGCAGCAGUGGGGAAUUUUGGACAAUGGACGCAAGUCUGAUCCAGCCAUGCCGCGUGCGGGAAGAAGGCCUUCGGGUUGUAAACCGCUUUUGUCAGGGAAGAAAAGGUUCUGGUUAAUACCUGGGACUCAUGACGGUACCUGAAGAAUAAGCACCGGCUAACUACGUGCCAGCAGCCGCGGUAAUACGUAGGGUGCAAGCGUUAAUCGGAAUUACUGGGCGUAAAGCGUGCGCAGGCGGUUAUGCAAGACAGAGGUGAAAUCCCCGGGCUCAACCUGGGAACUGCCUUUGUGACUGCAUAGCUAGAGUACGGUAGAGGGGGAUGGAAUUCCGCGUGUAGCAGUGAAAUGCGUAGAUAUGCGGAGGAACACCGAUGGCGAAGGCAAUCCCCUGGACCUGUACUGACGCUCAUGCACGAAAGCGUGGGGAGCAAACAGGAUUAGAUACCCUGGUAGUCCACGCCCUAAACGAUGUCAACUGGUUGUUGGGAGGGUUUCUUCUCAGUAACGUAGCUAACGCGUGAAGUUGACCGCCUGGGGAGUACGGCCGCAAGGUUGAAACUCAAAUGAAAUUGGAGCGNGAGAGNGCGAGACGACGACGAGGGAGGAGG